rnacentral:tRNA from 1 species
AGUUAAUUAGCUUAUUAAAAGUAAACGUUUUGAAAACGUUGGAUAGAGAAAUUUAUUAACUU